CACCUCCAGCUUCUAUCUUUUAUACAUCUUUUAGAAAAAAAUGUAGUGUGGCUUAUGUGAAUUGAAUUCUGGGCUUGAAUUUUUCUCACGCACUGACAGCAGAACCAACACUGAGGAAUCCAAAACAUCAUUGAUCUGUUUGCUUGCUCAUUGUUUUGUUGAUAUGCUGCUGGUUUCCAGUGCCCAGCCAGCUGGUGAGUACAUCAGUCAAGGAUGCAGUCUCUCAAGGGGGAGAAGCAGGGGAAGUCCAAGCAGCCAGAUCAGGGCUGGAAUCCAUAAACCAUCCAUGAAUUCAGUUCUCAAGGUGAGUAUAUAAAAAUGAGUCACAGGUGUAGCGCUUUCUGAGGUUAAUAAUGGUUCCACACACUUUACAUGAGUCAGACCCUUUAUUUAUUAGGCUCCCUCAUUUUUCUCAUCAGUAACGCCUUCAUCCUCUUCCUUCAUCUGGUGCUUAGUCAAUCUUGCCCUCACACCUGAUGAGCUCCUUUGUUGAACUGCUCUCAAACAGAUCACCCCCUUUGGAGAUGA
rnacentral:lncRNA from 1 species